rnacentral:tRNA from 1 species
CAGACUUGAAAUCUGUUGGGCUCUGCCCGCACAAGUUCGAAUCUUGUCGGCGACG